CUACGGGUGGCUGCAGUGGGGAAUAUUGCACAAUGGAGGAAACUCUGAUGCAGCAACGCCGCGUGGAGGAUGACACUUUUCGGAGCGUAAACUCCUUUUAUAUAGGAAGAAGAUGACGGUACUAUAUGAAUAAGCGCCGGCUAACUCCAUGCCUGCAGCCGCGGUAAUACGGAGGGCGCAAGCGUUACUCGGAAUCACUGGGCGUAAAGAGCGUGUAGGCGGAUUAAAAAGUCAGAAGUGAAAUCCUAUAGCUUAACUAUAGAACUGCUUCUGAAACUCUUAAUCUAGAAUAUGGGAGAGGUAGAUGGAAUUUCUGGUGUAGGGGUAAAAUCCGUAGAGAUCAGAAGGAAUACCGAUUGCGAAGGCGAUCUACUAGAACAUUAUUGACGCUGAGACGCGAAAGCGUGGGGAGCAAACAGGAUUAGAUACCCCGGCAGUC
rnacentral:rRNA from 1 species